rnacentral:rRNA from 1 species
UACGUAGGGUGCAAGCGUUAAUCGGAAUUACUGGGCGUAAAGCGUGCGCAGGCGGUUUUGUAAGUUUGUCGUGAAAUCCCCGGGCUCAACCUGGGAACUGCGUUUGUGACUGUAUGACUAGAGUACGGUAGAGAGGGGUGGAAUUCCUGGUGUAGCAGUGAAAAUGCGUAGAUAUCAGGAGGAACAUCGAUGGCGAAGGCAGCCCCUUGGACCUGUACUGACGCUCAUGCACGAAAGCGUGGGGAGCAAACAGG